GGCUCUGUGGCGCAAUGGAUAGCGCGUUGGACUUCUAGGCUCGGUGUUAGAGCUAUUCAAAGGUUGUGGGUUCGAGUCCCACCAGAGUCG
rnacentral:tRNA from 1 species